GACGUAGGUAGCAAGCGUUGUCCGGAAUAACUGGGCGUAAAGGGUGCGUAGGCGGCUUUUUAAGUCUGAUGUGAAAGCCCGUGGCUUAACCACGGAACUGCAUUAGAUACUGGGAAGCUAGAGUGCGGAAGAGGUUGACGGAAUUACUAGUGUAGCGGUAGAAUGCGUAGAUAUUAGUAAGAAGACCGGUGGCGAAGGCGGUCAACUGGGACGUAACUGACGCUGAGGCACGAAAGCGUGGGGAG
rnacentral:rRNA from 1 species